CCUACGGGAGGCAGCAGUGGGGAAUGUUGCGCAAUGAUCGUAAGAGUGACGCAGCGACGCCGCGUGAAUGACGAAGGCCUUCGGGUCGUAAAGUUCUUUCGACAGGGAAGAAAAUGCAGAUAAGUAACUGUGGAUGUAUUGACGGUACCUGUAUAAGCAGCCCAGGCUAACUCCGUGCCAGCAGCCGCGGUAAUACGGAGGGGGCGAGCGUUGGUCGGAGUGACUGGGCGUAAAGAGCACGUAGGCGGUGUUGUAAGUCAUUAGUCAAAGACUAGAGCUCAACUUUAGUAAGGCUAGUGAUACUCUAAUACUAGAGUAUCAGAGAGGCUUGCCGAAUUCCUGGUGUAGCGGU
rnacentral:rRNA from 1 species